rnacentral:rRNA from 1 species
CAGUAGCCGCGGUAAUACGUAGGUGGCAAGCGUUGUCCGGAAUUAUUGGGCGUAAAGGGCUCGCAGGCGGUUUCUUAAGUCUGAUGUGAAAGCCCCCGGCUCAACCGGGGAGGGUCAUUGGAAACUGGGAAACUUGAGUGCAGAAGAGGAGAGUGGAAUUCCACGUGUAGCGGUGAAAUGCGUAGAGAUGUGGAGGAACACCAGUGGCGAAGGCGACUCUCUGGUCUGUAACUGACGCUGAGGAGCGAAAGCGUGGGGAACGAACAGGAUUAGAUACCCGCGUAGUCCCUGUCUCUUAUAA